rnacentral:tRNA from 1 species
GGCGGCGUGGCAAAGUGGUUAGCACACCUGCUUCUAAACCAGAGGUAAUGGGUUCAAGUCUCGUCGCUGCUA